CCCCGACCCCCGGCCCACCCCCCACCGAGUAUGGACACAGCGAGAAGGCAGCCAUCUGCAAACCCAGAGGAGUGACCUCACCGUGAACCAAAUCUGCUGGCACCUUGAUCUUGGAUUUCCUUCCUCCAGAACUCACAACCAACAUUUCUUGGGGUGUUGGGAGAAUAUUAAAUACCUUUGUUUCUGCAGUUGCCUUUGAAAGACUUGGCUCAUGUAUGCCCGUCCCAAAAAGAUGAACCUACAGUCAGAACACUCUUGGCCAGUCAAGAGUCCACGAGGCUGAGGACUUGAUCUUGGACUGUGAUAAAUUCACCAAAGGCAGGUUCCCCUGCCAGGUCUCCUCCUGGGCUUGCAGUUACCCUUCUGCAUGUGUGUUCAUUUGACAACUGCCACAUGCUAAGAGGGACAUGCAGCACAAUUAAGUCACUCACAUGUUCUGUGGUAUCUUGUUAACAGAUCACCUGAGUUCUGAAGGUGGGGGCCCUUGGAUUAUUGAUUUUAAAGAGGACAAAAAGUAGAAUUUCUGAUGCCUAGAGAUUGACAGGCCCAGACAGAGCCCAUAAGUUCUCCUCCUCCCACUCCCUCAAUUAUCCUCUAUUUCAACCCCUUAUUUAUUCACUUCACAACACGGC